GAUGAACGCUAGCGAUAGGCUUAACACAUGCAAGUCGAGGGGCAUCAGGGUCUUCGGACCGCUGGCGACCGGCGCACGGGUGAGUAACGCGUAUGCAACCUACCCAUAACUUUGGGAGAGCCCGUGGAAAGACGGAUUAAUACCGAAUAACACUGGGGCACCGCAUGGGGAUAUUUGUUAAAGUCUUAUUGGUUAUGGAUGGGCAUGCGUUGGAUUAGCUAGUGGGUGGGGGUAACGGCUCACCAAGGAAACGAUUCAGAGGGGAACUGAGAGGUUUAUCCCCCAGACUGGUACUGAGGCACGGACCAGACUGCUACGGGGGGAAGGAGUGAGGGAUAAUGGUCGAUGGGAGAGCGCCUGAACCAGCCAAAUCGCGUGAAGGAUGACUGUAUUAUGGAUUGUAAGCUUGUUUUAUGUGGGAAUAAAAAAGGGGACGCGGCCCUUAUUGCAUGUACCACAUGAAUAAGCAACGGCUAACUCCGUGCCAGCAGCCGCCGUAA
rnacentral:rRNA from 1 species